UAUUAAACAAGCAAGAGUUUUUGGUGGAUGCCUUGGGUCUGGAAGUCGAUGAAGGACGUGAUUACCUGCGAUAAGCCUCGGUUAGCUGGAAAUAAGCUGUUAUCCGGGGAUUUCCGAAUGGGGAAACCUAAUUGAGCUAAUCCUCAAUUAUCAUAUCGAUGAAUUCAUAGUCGAAUGAAGAGACACGCUGUGAAUUGAAACAUCUCAGUAGCAGCAGGAAGAGAAAAUAAAGAAUGAUUCCCUAAGUAGUGGCGAGCGAACGGGGAAGAGCCCAAACCAACACAUGUUGUUGGGGUUGUAGGACUGCGACAUGGAUUAAUGAAUUUGUACAUAGCAGAAUAAGUUGGAACGCUUAAACAUAGAGGGUGAAAUUCCCGUAAGCGAAAUGUAUAAAUCUCCUAGCAGUAUCCUGAGUAGGGCGGGGCACGUGAAACCCUGUCUGAAUUUGCCGGGACCACCCGGUAAGGCUAAAUACUAACCAGACACCGAUAGUGAACUAGUACCGUGAGGGAAAGGUGAAAAGAACCCCGGGAGGGGAGUGAAAUAGAUUCUGAAACCAAUUACUUACAGUUAGUCAGAGCCCGUUAAUGGGUGAUGGCGUACAUCUUGCAGAAUGGACCGGCGAGUUAUGUCAACAUGCGAGGUUAAGUAGAAUAAAGCGAAGCCGUAGAGAAAUCGAGUCUGAAUAGGGCGAUUUAGUAUGUUGAUAUAGACCCGAAACCAGGUGAUCUACCCAUGAGCAGGUUGAAACUUAGGUAACACUAAGUGGAGGACCGAACCGCAGUACGCUAAAAAGUGCCCGGAUGACUUGUGGGUAGGGGUGAAAUUCAAUCGAACUUGGAGAUAGCUGGUUCUCUCCGAAAUAGCUUUANGGCUAGCGUGUANUGUUAAAUGAUGGGGGGUAGAGCACUGAAUAUGGNAUGGCGGCGCCUAGCCCGUACUGACUAUUAUCAAAACUCCGAAUACUAUCAUGUAUUACUAUGCCAGUCNGUCCAUCGGUGAUAACCCUCNAUNNCCCCCAAGGGGGACCACCCCAAAUCNCCGGNUAGGUCCCNAAAAUUCGUGUNANGUAAAAANGGUUGUNAGNUUUUCAUAAACCANCUAGGAAGUUGGCUCCAGAANCCANCCNCCUUUUUAAAGAGUGCGUAAUAGCUCACUUAGUCAAGAGACCUUGCGCCAACCAAUUUAANGGGACUAAAACACGAUACCGAAGCCGCGGGUAAUUAUAUUUACGUUAGAGGAGCGUUCCUAGGGCAAUGAAGUCAGACCGUGAGGACUGGUGGAGCGCUAGGAAGUGAGAAUGCCGGUAUGAGUAACGAUUCGUAGUGAGAAUCUACGACGCCUAUUGGGGAAGGUUUCCUGGGCAAGGUUCGUCCACCCAGGGUUAGUCAGGACCUAAGACGAGGCUGAAAAGCGUAGCCGAUGGACAACAGGUUAAUAUUCCUGUACUUUCUAUAAUAGUGAUGGAGUGACGGAGGAGGAUAAUCUUACCACUUACUGGAUUGUGGGGUAAGCGUUCACUGGUGACUGUAGGCAAAUCCGCAGUCUAUAACCGGGAGGCGUGAUGCAUAGGGUCAAACCGAAUUAGAUNAUUCCACACUUCCAAGAAAAGCUUCUAAACUUAAUAUUA
rnacentral:rRNA from 2 species